rnacentral:rRNA from 1 species
UACGAAGGGGGCUAGCGUUGCUCGGAAUCACUGGGCGUAAAGGGUGCGUAGGCGGCGCGGUAAGUCGGGUGUGAAAUCUCGGAGCUUAACUCCGAAACUGCAUUCGAUACUGCCGUGCUUGAGGACUGGAGAGGAGACUGGAAUUUACGGUGUAGCGGUGAAAUGCGUAGAUAUCGUAAGGAAGACCAGUGGCGAAGGCGGGUCUCUGGGCCGAUAUUGACGCUGAGGAGCGAAAGCGUGGGGAGCGAACAGG